AGAACUCACUGACAAAACCAGUACCCACAGUAACAAAUGGUAACAUGUCAGUGAAUGGAUAAUAGAACGGAAACAACAAUACAACUAAUUAAUUUCGCC